UCAUACUCAACAAUAAAAAAAAUCAAAUAAAUCAUGAAAUGCUUAGUUUGUUUUCUUGUUAUGCUUCGCAAAGUUAUUCCAACUUCCAUCUUUAAGGGUAGAUAUGAAUUUUCCGACUAUGUAUGUGGAAUGACUAUAUCAAAUAUAGAUAACAACAAUUUGCUCAGGCACAUUUUCGACUUGCCAAACUAUAGUACGACUAUUACCACGACCGUACCGACCAUAGUGGUCAUAUCAAAUAUUCUAUAG
rnacentral:lncRNA from 1 species